rnacentral:rRNA from 1 species
UACGAAGGGGGCGAGCGUUGUUCGGAUUUACUGGGCGUAAAGGGCGCGCAGGCGGCUCAUUUUGUCAGGCGUGAAAGCCCCGGGCUUAACCUGGGAACUGCGUUUGAUACGGAUGGGCUAGAGUUCGGGAGAGGAGAGUGGAAUUCCCAGUGUAGAGGUGAAAUUCGUAGAUAUUGGGAAGAACACCGGUGGCGAAGGCGGCCAUCUGGACGACAACUGACGCUGAGACGCGAAAGCGUGGGGAGCAAACAGG